rnacentral:rRNA from 1 species
UGUGUUGGGCGCUGCGGACUCUGUCCCGUCGGUGCCCCAACAAAGGUUAUCGGCGUGUCAACCGGCCCGCCCGUCCCCUCCUUCUGGAUUCCCCGUUCCUGCUAUUGAGUUAGUGGGGACGUCACAGGGGGUCCAUCAUCGACGUUUCAACGCGUCGGUGGUGGAUCUCUGGGGCCCAGAUCGUUUACCGUGAAAAAAUUAGAGUGUUCAAAGCAGGCAGAUUCAAUUUUCUGCCACCGAAUACAUUAGCAUGGGAUAAUGGAAUAGGACCCUGUCCUCCUAUUUUCAGUUGGUUUUGGCAGCGCGAGGACUAGGGUAAUGAUUAAUAGGGAUAGUUGGGGGCAUUAAUAUUUAAUUGUCAGAGGUGAAAUUCUUGGAUUUAUGAAAGAUUAACUUCUGCGAAAGCAUCUGCCAAGGAUGUUUUCAUUAAUCAAGAACGAAAGUUAGGGGAUCGAAGACGAUCAGAUACCGUCGUAGUCUUAACCAUAAACGAUGCCGACCAGCGAUUAGGAGACGUUGAAUACAAAACACCACCAUCGGCGCGGUCGUCCUUGGCGCGUUCGUGUUCACGCACGAGCGCGCGAGGGCGGUUUAGCCCGGUGGCACCGGUGAAUGACUCCCCUAGCAGCUUGUGAGAAAUCAUAAGUCUUUGGGUUCCGGGGGGAGUAUGGUCGCAAGGCUGAAACUUAAAGGAAUUGACGGAAGGGCACCACCAGGAGUGGAGCCUGCGGCUUAAUUUGACUCAACACGGGGAAACUUACCAGGUCCGGACAUAGUAAGGAUUGACAGAUUGAUAGCUCUUUCUUGAUUCUAUGGGUGGUGGUGCAUGGCCGUCUUAGUUGGCUGAGUGAGUCAUGACGUAA